rnacentral:rRNA from 1 species
ACCUGCCCUAUGAUUAAUAAUUAAAUGGCUGCGGUAUUUUGACCGUGCAAAGGUAGCAUAAUCAUUAGUUUUUUAAUUGGGAACUGGUAUGAAAGGUCGAACGAAAAAAAAACUGUCUCAAUUUAAUUUAAAUUAGAAUUUUAUCUUUAAGUAAAAAAGCUUAAAUGAUUUUAAAAGACGAGAAGACCCUAUAGAGUUUUAUAUUUAAAUAUUUAUAUGAAAAAUUAAAGAAUUGUUUUUUUUUUGUAAUUAUUUAAUUAUUUAGUUGGGGCGAUUAAAAAAUUUAAAUAACUUUUUUUAAAUAAUAACAUUGAUUUAUGAAUAAGUGAUCCAUAUUUAAUGAUUAUAAGAUUAAAUUA